AUUAAAAGUUAUUAGGGGGUUCAUGUUUUCUAUGAUUGACACUUGAUACAGUCUAUGGGCGUACAAAGAUUGCAUAGCUCACCCGGGGGAUACGCUGUUUGAGCCAAACAUCAUCACAGCGACUCUCCCACCGAAUGCGUGCAACGCCACUGCGCAAUGUUGGUUUAAGGAAAUUGAGAAAAAACGUUGAAUUACCGAGAGCUUUUCGGUUUCAAAUCUGUAUACAGGCGGAAGGCGUUGUCCAUACAGUCUAUGGUUGGCACACCGUGAUAUCUGAUGCCCAGGAGUUAAUAUCAAUCAAGAUUCUAUCUUGUUAGUACAAGAUAGUUUUAUUCUUUCCAUAAGAUAACUUGUUUUUAGAGGUUAUUUUUAUCUUCAUCAUUGUCAUGUGCAUGUGCAUGCAGUGUAUCUUAAUGUAUAUUUUAUUGUAACUUUUGCACAGUUAUCUUGCUCGAACAUAAUCCUCUAGAUUAAAACAAUUUUAAUAUUCUCUGGUAAACGUACUGGCAGCUGUUCUCUUUCUGUUAAACAAAGCUGUCUCUGUGUUAUUUUACAAGUCAAGUAAAAAACAUACGCCUCCACACAAAGCUUCUCCUCACCCCCCCACUGUCCCUCCACUGACCCCCACUGUGCACCAAAGAUUUCAUUCCCUUCCUCUUUCUCUUCUGGGACUGUCUGACUUUAUUUCCUACUUUUCAUCAAACGUUCCACCAUUCAGAUUUCUUCUACAGGCUCCAGGAGAAGAAGUUAUGUCACAUAAGUUUUUGCUCCCUUGGAAUUUAAAAAGCCCAAAUUUAAGAAAGAUCAGUCAUCUUUGUGUAGUCGAUGUUGUCAAAAUGCCUGUUAAGCUUUUGGUUUCCGUAUUCAUUCUUUUAAAUUUCAUUUUACUGCACAGACGCAGGGAAGAAGAGCCUGUCAAGGAUUUAGGGAGACGGGUAGAGGAAGCAUUCAAGAUUUCCAAAAAGGAAAAGCAUGUAGCAUAUUAUGAAAUAUGAUAGAGGCAGCUUGUCGUGCUCCAGGCAGAAUAACACACUUAGCAUGCAGAGGGGUGGUGGGUGAAGGAGGAGAGAGAGAGAAAGACAGGCAGAAAGCGAGAGAGACUGAGAGAGAGCAGGACAGUUAUUUGGAGACAGAUGGAAUGAGAUCUCCCUAAAAUGGUUCUGAGCAUCGCCUGGACGAGCAUCUACCUCCCCCGCUUUUUUUCCCUCCCAGCUCUCCUCCUUCUUUCUAAAUGCCCAUCCCAUCUCUGUCACUCUCUCUGUCUCUCACACUUCGUCCCUGCUGUUUUCCUCUCCCUCUGGGCACCCACGCCUCCUCCCCUCCCUCUCCCUUGUGUUUAGCUGAAAUGACACCGUGCUCCCUGCGUUUCAUCAGAGUGUGCUUGGCAUCUCUGGGGGUGUGUGUGCGUGCAUAUAAACCAGUGUGUGUCCUCAGAAACAACAGGAAUGCAUUGACUGAUUGUGCAUAAAGUUUGGUUUUAUACACACACAUAAACUGUGAUGUUUCUCUGUGCUUAUUUGUGACUAUAUAAAAUUCAAUAGCGCCGUAUCUUUAUUUUACAGCUCCUGCACAGAUAGUGUCAGUCAGUCCUUAUAUGUGUUUAAUGUGCAUGUCACCAAGGUGGAGCGUGUUUAUGUGUGCGUGCAUUUCAUGUUCCCUCUUUUAUACAAGUGUGCGUGGGUGUUUAAGUUGAUCAAUGAUCCUCUCCUCCAUCCUGACAUGGGGGCUUGUUUGGAGAGCCACUUACCCUGAUUGGACUAAAUGAACAGAAAGAAAGAACGAGAGAGGGAGCGAGGUUGGGCUCCGGAGAGUAAAGGCUGCUUAAAACAGCAGGGCGGCGUUCUGUGUACUGCAGGCCGAUCCAUCAAUACAGGCUGUUAAGGGGCAGGGGAGAGAUCGCUGAGCGAUGUCUUCAAACACGAUGCAAUCAUAGACUCCUAUCCACCAGAGACAGAGACAUAAACAGAGCCAUUAAAGGUUAUUCAGACACAGGGUUCACACCUGCAUGCUGCUCGCAAUACACACCACAUGUCAUCUGAAAUAAACAGCGAGUCCUCAUUUUUCAAUGCCCUAAUGCACACACAUUGUGAACAGAGUUUGUGUGCGAGUAAGAUACUUUGCGCACCUGAAAGUGUGUCUCAGCAGGACAAAACAAAAGAGUUUCAGUAGAUGUUGUUUUCUGCCGGACAAGUUGGCAAGUGAAACACUGGAAUACAGACCCUAUAGACCUGUCAGGGAGAAGCCCUGAAUUUGUAGAUGAUCUUGUGUGCCAGGCCAUAUCAACUGACAGCUCAGUCAGUUACCUUGCAUGCAUCCAUUCGUCCUCCUACUUUUCUGGCUCCCUCUGCAAACCACUUUGCAGCUCGCUCCCACCCCAGCUCCUCUUUUUAGCACUGUGUCUGCCACUGUUGCCACUGAUACCUGCUCUGUUCUGGUCUUUGCUGCUGCUCUCCCUGCCUCGGCUUUUCAUACAUAGACAUGGAUAGGAGGGAGGUGCUGUCCCUGCUUCUGUAGAGGACUUAUGGAUGGAGGGCAUGAAGCUCUUAGAACAGAGCCGUACAGCCAAAUAUCACUUAUUAAAUGACAAUAAUUGAUUCUUUAAAAAAAAAGAAAAAGUCCUUAAUUUAUGAUAAAAUAUUACUUGAGGCCAUUUGCUCCAUAAAUGGACUAAUAUUCUUGCACUUUUUGGACCUCAGAAAGCAGUUUCUGUCAUCUAAAAGCACAUAAAAGACAUGAGGAGUCCUUCGUGUCUUUUUAUGUACACGUGUGGGAGCUCUCAGAAUAGAGCUAUUACACCAAAAUAACUUACUCCUGAACUUAAUUAAGUCUUUGAGAAGAAAGCAGUCCUGACUGAAUUGGCCUUGUCCAUCAAGUGCACAAACAUUUUUUUAAAUAUCAAAAUAGAGUAGCUGUGAGAUGCAUGAUGUGUAUGAACAUAGUUGAACAGUGUAUCUUACAUAAGUAUUUUAUAACGUUCAUCUUGUAUUUACGAAGUCAACCAGUCCAGCUGUCUCAGUCAUCAUUAACAGUUCCAGCCGCCACAGCUGUCACUUGUUGAAUGAAUGUGAUCUCAGCCGCCUGCCAGGAUCACAACACUAGUGCUGUGUUCUAACUGUUACCUCCUUCACUGACAAUGUGUGAAAUUACAUUUUAGAGACGUGAUGGUUAGCAUAACAGAAAAGGCCACGCUCGUCUCUGCUGAUGACAGUGUCUGAGUCGUGUUCAGAAAAAAAGGGCAAAUAUUUGCCUGAUGCACCAUCAUAAUUGUAAAAUGGAGAAAAGUGGUAUAAAAUUAGGACUGCAGCAGAAACGUAGGGAUCGAUUUUCCUGCUUUUAGAGGAAGUGCAGUAAUCGAGCCAGUGCAGUAAUCUCAAAGUGCAACAGGCAACUCCAACUCCAUCCUCAGAUUACAACCUUACAUUUCAUUCACUCUCAAGCAACUUAAACAACUUUGUGAAAGUAGUCACAGAAAUUGUUGUUUUUAAACUCUCCAAAGUCCGUGUUUGGCCAUUUCAAGUAAUUAUGUGGAUAAAUCAAUAAAGGUAAUGUUACAAGUCUCUAUCAAGGAUACUGCUGACAUUCACAAUCUAGAAAGAGACAACUGAGCAAUAUUAAUUCUACAAUGAAUUACAAAUGAAAGAUACCUCUUCAGAGGCAAUUUACUCACCUGGGAAAGUAUUCUUGAUUGUCAACAUUGGUUCGGGAUUUACAUAAUGUCUUUCUCAUAACUGCACAGCUGCGGCUCUGUGCUCCUUUGACCACUUGGCAGCAUGGUUGUAUUUGUAACCAGCCGGUAUUUUUCUCUAACUAGAGCGCUUGUUAAAUCACAACCGUCUUCACAGCGAUGGCCGAUUCCUCUCCAGGAGAAAAUACGUCAAUACUUCACUGGACACAAUCAUGUAAUUGUGUUUCAUGAGCUGCUGUAUGACCCUAAUCGUAUGAACCAAAUCGGUCCUUUUAGCCCACAUCCCCAGCUGUUGCCAUGGUGACAGCCCCAGGUGGGACGCUGAUGGACAAAUCCUGCUCCUUUUCUCACGCCGCUAAGCUAUCUCUCCCAUCUCAAUUAGUGGCCAACAAUAGUCAAGUGAUAAUUUGCUGAAUGAGUCAAUCAAAACAUUUCCCACCUCUCGUCUUGGGGAUGAGUCGUCUCUCUGUCAGUUAUCUCACCGCUAAUUCUGAGUGACCAUGACAGAUGUUAGCUCCCCCCCACCCUCCUUCUUCCAGCAUCGUCACACGACAGACAUCCUCUGUCAUCCCACUGAAUUUCUUACUUGUUUCUGUCUGACUGCGCAUUGUACAUCAAAGGUGACAUUGGAUGUCUUAUCAGAGGUCCAUCUUCCGACUCUCCCACAUGUGUGCACUUUGAAGUUGCAGAGAUUAGAUGUUGCCAUACAGUAAAACACAUGAUGCAUUAAGCCCUUAGUGCGGACACUAAUAGACGAACAGACUUGUCCUUGAGCUGAUAUAAGGCAUAGCACAGUUGUUUGUUGUCAUGGCUUUGCCUUCCUUUUCAUCAGAUAUUUUCUAUAUUCUGCGGUGCAGUCCUGUCAGGAGUGAACGGGUGUGGUGGAAAUCUGUAGGGGGAGCUAUCACUGAUCUGCAGCUUAAUGAAAUCUUUAUUUGUCUUGUACUAGCCACUGUUUAACUACAAUUUUCAGUGUCUUUCAGGCUCCACCUCCAACUCCUUGUUUUGGCUGCUUUUCUGCUGAAGUAAAGUUUGACACAGCAUGUGGGUGUUACUUUUUACACAGCUUUGUAGCCAUGAAACGACCCAAAAUGAUAAGCUUUUAUGCUUUUCCAUUAUGUUAUAUUAGCUGCUGUUACAAUCUUACUAUGACCAUCUUUUUUUAAAUGAAACAACCCAAGAGUUCAGAAAAAGUUGACAUGCAAAUUCAGCUCAUAUUAGUCUUUGUUUACAAAGAAGUCAUCAAUUAAGUGGUGAAUACAAACUUCUUCUGGCAACCCACUCUUUCACAACUUUCUAAAACUUAAGAAAUCAGCCUUGCAGCAGAAAAGUCAAAGGUGGAAAUUUGGGUAGUCCUAGCAUGAUGGCAGAGGUUGAUGCCACGUCGAGGCCGAGAAUUAUGUGCAUGCAUUAUUAACAGGACAACUCCUUUAGGUCUCCUUUAAGUAAUAAAUAACAAACUUAAUGUAUUGAUUUGGUUUAAAGGGAGGAUGUGAGAGAGGCUAAGAGAGGGUCAACUGAGCAUGAAGAGAGACAGAGAGAAAGCAGAGAGGAUCGGCUGAAUGAUGAUGAUAGUGUGUAGCUGGGGUGCCAUUACAGGCAGUUAUAGGCAUUAUAUUAAUGGAGUGUACUAGUGUCUUUGGUUUAAUUGCCCUAAUCUUGAUGUGUGUGUGUAUACCUCUAUGUGAGAGCCAUUCUGUGCCUGAGCCUGCAGCUUCCUUCACACUGUGCUGUCUUUGUCGUGACCUCGUGUGAGUGAUAUUCAUGUCAUACCGUCCUGCAGAGGGAUGAAACACGGACACACGCAGGUGAUGGGAUCAAAGAACACAGUGCAGAGGUCUUGCCACGGGUGACAGAUGGUUAAUUGUCAUGCAAAAUCAGAAUGAAACGUUUUUAUCACAGCACAAUUUACACGGACACGCUGCACGAUGCCUUGUUAGCUGUUUGUCUGCCUUCAUUAACAUCAGACCCUCUGUGAGCAAAUUUAGCAGUGCUAACUGUGCGACACAUGGCCAAAUGUUUCAGCUGUUUGUUCAUCCAGCGAGGCUGCUAAAGUAGAGGGAGUGUUAACAUAUUUAAUCCUCAUGAGUUAAAUGGUCUGUGAUGAGGAGAAGGAGAAAUACUCAAGAGUCUUUUCUGUGACAUUUAAAGACAUCUGUUGACUCAAAUUGAGCAAAAAGAGUGCAAAGGUGAAUAAAAACAAGAAAAAUGAGACUAACGUGCUGAUUUUUAAGUGAAUGUACCGUUUCUCUCAAUGUGAGGCCAUUCAUUCUUCUGCGCAACACUUGGAUUCUGAGCACGUUACAUGAAUUAAACCCAGCUACUUAACGCUCCUGUGAGGGGACUGAAAUUUAUAUCUGUGAUUUUUAUUGAUAUGCAAAAGCAAACAAGGCUAUCAACAACAACAGAAAUGAUUAAUUUUACACAGUAAUUUUUAAUACCUGAAACUGGUGCGAGGGGGUAGGUGUCAGAGGGGCAUCAAAUAUUUAGAAAUUACAAAUCUGAGGAUGUAAUUUGGGCAUGAUGAGCAGGGCAGAGAGCUCUAACUUGCCGAUGGCAUUCAUUAUCCCCCAAAGAUGAUCUCUAUCUGCUUUCUUGCCUCUACUGCCAAAAAUUUCCACUUAAGUAUUAUAUCAAAUUGGUUACAAAGAUGAAUGUUAAACACAUUUCCCAUUCAAAAUCAUGCCCCUCAGAGGAUAGACCCUCUGCGAUUUGAAUGCUCCAAUGAUUUCUUUUAAGCACCCUCUUAGGCCAGCACAUUGAUUUUAACAUACGAGCCACCCCCCAAAGGUAGAUCACCAUAAACUUUGCUGAUCAUGCCCCCACGAGAACAAACCUUUCCAGCUUUCCUGUAAAACCCUCCUCAGGACAAACUUUACGCUUUUAGGAAAACUCGAAGAGUAAUAGAGUCGUUGAAAUGUUGUUCAUUAUGCACUACCGUUUGCUUUGCUUUGGAGUGAUGAACAGCCUCAGGGGACCAUUAGUGGGUUGUUAAGUCUUGUUAAUUUUAUUUACUUUUAGACUCACUGCCUGAAGAUGAGGGUUUUGAAUCAAAGUGUUUCUCCCUGUGAUUCAUACUUUAAUAUCUUUCACAAACAUGAAUGACUCAAUCCUCAAAAUGUAAUUGUCUUGUCAGCAGAGGUUAUUUAUUAAAUGAUUCAACUGUUUACUGUUUUAAUGAGCCACGGGCCACAAAUUACUGAAAACGGUAAAUGAGAAAAUCCCUGUUAUACAUACAAACACAAACAGCAGCUGCAAUAAAUAUCCCCUACUUAAUUAAAAAUGAUAUGACUAACAUGUGUACAGGCCAGACUUUCUCAAAGCAUAUCAUACUUUCACAUGAUUUGCAGGCAAUUUAAUUAGAACAGCAGUAUUCAGCAUCCCAAGUUCAGAGUGGUUAAUUAGUUAUGUAAGUGCUGGAUUGAAAAGAAGAGCAGUCAAUUAACAAAGUCUGCAAAAGGGGCACAUGUUGCUCUCGGCUGGUGUUAUAAUGUUGUACCCCCUGGCAGGCAUUACUAAUCAACCACCAAUCACUUUUUGCCAACACUUUAUGGAGAAUCAGAAGAAAAAGUUGCACCUAAAUGAUAAUUUGCACUUGCACAAAUGUUCUUUUAGAUCACUCAGGUUAAAAUCCGAGAGAAUACGUAAAAAAUGCAUAAAAAUACAUAUUUCCUGUGGUAAAUAUGUUGUAUUUUUAAAUCAUAUAUUAUUCAAAGCAACAUACUAGAUACAACUGAUAGUGUUGUAUAGCUACUGGUAAUAUGGGAGAUAAAAAUUAUUGAACACAUCACAUAUCAUGAUGAAGCACAGACUCAUGAGAAAAAUCCCUUUAUACAUGCAGCCAUACAGAGUGAGGCUCAGUCUUCUAAACAUGAAACUGCUGCAACAAAAAAAGCAGAGUGAAAAUCUUGCAGCAUUUGGUUUUGUGCAGACUUGUUCUUGAUAAGAAAAAAAAAAAAAAGCAUGUUCACAUGAAACCUGGUCACAAUCAGUCUGUUGCAGAAACUGAGGCACAGAUGAUGCUGGUGUGGAGGUUCAUGCCACAGUUGCUAGUCCGGAUAAUUGGCUAGCAUUGACUUUUCACCGGCCCAAAGAUGAGUCAAUGUUGUGAUAGAAAAGUUCUCGAUAUCUGUGUUGAAAGUGGGAGUUGCUACAGAGACUGGGCUGAAUGUCCCUGCUGUAUCCAACACCUCUAGCUAAUUACUCCACAUUUAAAACACCACCCCUGGUAGCUGAAUGAACCAAAAUUUGCGUGUUUGUAUUCGUUUUUAACAAUCAAUUAUGACUUACUCAAAUGCCGACAGCUCUCUUGCUAAGCGAGGGCUAAUUUCCCCAGAAAAAAAAGAAAAAAAAAACAUCUAAUAUUCCCAUUAUUUCAGCAUCAAAAAGCAGCAAAGUAGUAAUAACCAAGGGUUCGUGAGGAGCAAAAUAACUGACAUUAUUUUAUCUAUGAAGGCGAAGGAACACAAGGAACGCAAAUGAAGCCUAUUAUUGUGCCAGUGGUUAUUAGUUCAUGUUGUCAUGUGAUGUGACAGAUCAGAGGGGAACCGUGGAGCUGCAGUGUGACAUGCAUGGAGACGGGUCAAUGGGCUGAGAUGUGAAUAUCACUGUUCCAGCCCCCGCUAACAGACUGCUGUAAUGUAAUCUCCACAGACUCCUUUUAGCAGCUGUAGCUAUUUCUUUUUUUUUUUGUCUUCUGCUGUCCUUGUUUCCUGUACUUUGAUCUAUUUCUGGCAUUGUUUUACAGCAGUUUGGUUGCCUGUUCAGGAGGCGGUGUGUAGACUAAACGAAAGACGGCAAACAAGAUAAAUCUGUGAAUUUUGUACAAACUGUAGGAACAAAUGACUGUUUUUCUACCCAGCGUGUUAUCGCUACAGUAUAUGUUUCUUUGUUGGGAGUGGGGGUGGGGGUGGGGGGGUGAUGCUCAAUGUGUCGAGGGGUGGCGUGGGGAGGGUAAGGAACAAGGGAUGAGAUUUUUCUGUAAACGGUCGGGGACUGUGCAAUGAUACUUGUAAUUAUUAAGAGAAUCCAGAGUAUAGAGGUGGAAAAAAUGUCCCUUAUGACAAAUGAAAUAAAGUGUUAUAUUUGCAUGAUUUCCUGUAUUUUCAUGGAGCAGAUAUUUAUGGUUGUGAUUACUGAGUACAUGUACGUCACAUUAACUGUUUAAUUAUGAAAAUGAAAAAAAAAUACUGUCAAUUUCUUCUGUGAAUAUAAAUAUACAAUUUUCUUAGCUCUUUUAUGACUAACUCA
rnacentral:lncRNA from 1 species